rnacentral:misc_RNA from 1 species
GCAGUUACAAGACUUGUAUAAAACAGAAUAAGUAAUGCAAUAUCAGUUUUCAUCAUCUGUAAUAUGAUCUUAGUAUAAAAUGAUAAGACAUAAUUAUAAGGCUCUAACAGCGAAUCUGCCACAGUAAAAUGCGGACAUUUAUAUUUCAGUUCCUUUAAAAUAAGCCCAGAAUUUCAUUACUACAUUAUAAAGGAACACAUAAUUAUACCUAAGAACAGACAGAUACAUUAUAAAUCCCCCAUAAUUUCUUAUCGUAUUAUCUGAUUUUGUGACUCGAGAGAAGAAAACCAAAAUGAACAGUCUUUCUACUGAUAUUUCAGCAGAUUCGUUCACAUCUUUGAAGGCUUAGGGAAAAUAUCAGGUGUGAAUUUCUGAGCUGCACUUAUGCUUCCCUUAAUCUUCAUCGCACCCCUCAUAAAAGCAAUUUGAGGGUUCAUUUUCCCAGUGGCAAUCUUCACAAAAUCACCAUCAGUAAAUGAAAAAGUUGCAUCAGGCUUCCCACCUUCGUAUGGCCCUUCCUUUGUUUCUCCCUUUUUCAGAUCAACAACAUACGCCUUCUCAUUGAAUCCAAUUUUCUUAGGUGCGAUGUUGAUUUGGUAAACGAGACCAAUUUUCUUAAUGAGUUCCUUGCCAGCAUCAGUAGAAAGAUGAAGUUUCAAUUGAUCGAAUAUAGCAUCUGAUUUGAGCUGAGUAGAAGUUUCGGCCAUGGCUGAUGUUAAUGCGAAAAGUAAAAGAAUAGAGAAUUAUGAGGUAGAUUAAAAGUAAUUCCUAUUAUAUAGAGAGAGUAGCCGUAGAGUAUUAAUGGGAGAUGGAAAUUUGGAAUUUGGUGGAAGAAAUAUUUAAAAAAAAUUUGCAGUUUUGGUUACCAAUGAAGAAGACGAGUAAUAAAUGCAAGUAAGAUAAGUUGGUGACAAGAGAUGG